UUCACCUUUUAUUAAAUGUAUAUUUUUAUUAUUGUUUUUUUUUCUUAGCUAUUGUUUUGGCACAUGGUAUUUCCACCAUAACUUCUGCACAAAGAUGUCUUCUGUUCAUCUUGAACAUAAAAAAAAAACAAAACAAAAAAAAAACUAAAUGCAAAAUUUUAUGUGACAGCUUAUUUUUUUGCCUCACAAUUAUGCUGUGAAUUUUAGAAAGGAAAAAAAAAUUCUUUUUAUUUUUUUCUUUGGGAUAAUUUAUUGUACCAAAGCUGUUUUUAUAGCACAAAGAUGUCUGUAACCAAUAAUGUAGCAGUUUGGCACAUUUGUAACUAGAUUUUAAAUGUAAUUUUAAAAUUUGGAUACAUUAUUGUUUUGUCAAAACUGGAACGGUUUGCUAAACCAUCGUUAAAAGCAAACGUCUAGAAUAAUAAAAUGACUCAGUAUUGAGAAACACAUACAAACAUCCAUUUUGCACAUAUUUAGGCGUAAAUACUGGAUAAUCAGAGUGGUUCUCAUCACUUGUUGACGUGACAUUAGGAAUCCUCUGCAGCCAUUUUGGGCAGCCUUUUCAGAUGACAGCAGGGAGACAAGAGUUGAACAUACCCUGUUUAGCAUUUAAGUGGUUCUUCUGUCUACAAUUGUAA